GGGCGGCUCACAAUUGGCCCAGCGUCGUCCAGACUACACCAGACAGCAGAGGGAGCAGUGCUUCAAGAAUGGGCCUUUGACGUGCAGUACGAAACGUGGCGUUUAGCCGCAGCGAUGUGGAUGUGUAGCCAGUGUUUCUGGCGUACGUCCUAGAUCCUUCUAUCAAGAGGAGAAACCAACCAGUUGGGUGUGUCUGCGCUAAAUCACUGGAGGCGGUGAGGGAACAUCUGUUGCACUGCUGGACAUGCACAGCUGUUGAUUAUUGCCGCUAAACUUGCUUAUUAUUGUGCUGAAAAUGAAGGGGCAAGGCUACCAAAAGGGACUAUAAUAUUUCACCCAACUGUACACCGGGUGUCAACACCCUUUGACACAAAGGUUUGCCUUUAACUCUGUCGGGAGGAGAAAUCCACAGCACACACCAUAUGAAUGUUGUUAAGUCAGUGUGGUUUGCAAGUUUUUAAA
ensembl:lncRNA